GACGGGCCUCCCCGCAUGGGAGCGCAGCCAAACGGGUCAGGUCGGGAACGGAGCAGCCCUAACUGUUAGUUCCCAGUGCCGGGGUCAAGGCUCGUCACC
rnacentral:SRP_RNA from 1 species